AGGAGGAACAACCACAGUGGCAGCGGCCAGCUCUGGAGCCCUGGAUUACUGCAGGAGGAGCUCCUGCAGUAACUACAGAGCUGUCCGUCUGCAGGGCCUGGAGGCUCCGGGGCGGG
rnacentral:pre_miRNA from 1 species